UAUAAUAUUAGAUGCUAUAGAUACAAAAUUCUAAAGACAAAUGAAAUGACUUCAGAAGAUUUGACAAUAAGAUACUAUUCUUGAAUGAUCUAUACACCUUUCUAUUUCUUGUUGACCACUUAAAUUGGUAACUGCAGCAAUAUAUUUCAUAAUAAUUUUACUUGCUUCUGUUUUACCAGAACCAGAUUCCCCACUAAUUACAAUACAAGUAUCACGACGUUGUUGCUUCAUUUCUCUGUGCACUGCAUCAGCAAUUGCAAAAAUAUGUGGUGGAUUUUCAAAUAAUUCUCUAUCUAAAAUCUUUAUAUUUAUUAAUAUAAUCAUUGUCAUAUAUAUUUACACUUCUGUAUGGAUUUAUGCUGAUACAUACUUCUCCAAUGUACGUAUAAAUUUUUCCACCAUUGUAU
rnacentral:misc_RNA from 1 species